UUUUUAUGGAGAGUUUGAUCCUGGCUCAGGAUGAACGCUGGCGGCGUGCCUAAUACAUGCAAGUCGAGCGAACAGACGAGGAGCUUGCUCCUCUGACGUUAGCGGCGGACGGGUGAGUAACACGUGGAUAACCUACCUAUAAGACUGGGAUAACUUCGGGAAACCGGAGCUAAUACCGGAUAAUAUAUUGAACCGCAUGGUUCAAUAGUGAAAGACGGUUUUGCUGUCACUUAUAGAUGGAUCCGCGCCGCAUUAGCUAGUUGGUAAGGUAACGGCUUACCAAGGCAACG
rnacentral:rRNA from 2 species